AACGAACGCUGGCGGCAUGCCUAACACAUGCAAGUCGAACGAGACCUUCGGGUCUAGUGGCGCACGGGUGCGUAACGCGUGGGAACCUGCCCUUAGGUUCGGAAUAACUCCCCGAAAGGGGUGCUAAUACCGGAUAAUGUCUUCGGACCAAAGAUUUAUCGCCUUUGGAUGGGCCCGCGUUGGAUUAGCUAGUUGGUAGGGUAAAAGCCUACCAAGGCGACGAUCCAUAGCUGGUCUGAGAGGAUGAUCAGCCACACUGGGAAUGAGACACGGCCCAGACUCCUACGGGAGGCAGCAGUGGGGAAUAUUGGACAAUGGGCGAAAGCCUGAUCCAGCAAUGCCGCGUGAGUGAUGAAGGCCUUAGGGUUGUAAAGCUCUUUUACCCGGGAUGAUAAUGACAGUACCGGGAGAAUAAGCUCCGGCUAACUCCGUG
rnacentral:rRNA from 1 species